rnacentral:lncRNA from 1 species
AGGAUUACUAGCUCUGGUUAUGGCGUUUCUAUAUCUGAUUCAAGAGGAGCCAAAAAAGGAACUUCUAACAGAGAAAAUGGGAUCACAUCAGGUCGGUCCAGGACGUUGAAUAAUGGGACGUCAAGAGCAAGAUCACAUGGCAACAGACCUGACAGAAACGGUACAUCUUUGCACGAGUCGCGGUCCAUGAUCUCUCAGGUGUCGCAAGACCAUCAACCUGACAGCUCUACAGAUAAUAUUACACAUGAAGUAUCUACCGAGUUGAUUCCAGACCACCCAAUUUCUUACAGAAGGUCAGAUAGUAUGAAUGAGAAUAUACUUAUUCAUAGACCUGCUAGUCCCGCAGACAUUGGAUUGGCUCGCUCUUUAACAACUCGAGACAGCUUUCGACAUUAUGGUAUUGCUGAGGUACAUUUCAUUUAUUUUGGCAAAGAU